AAAAUUUGUCAUCUCAAUUUUAUCAUUUAAUUUUAAGAUUUAGACAUAAUAUAAAUCAAUCUAAUUUAUGGCUCACAAAUUUGUUUUAACAUAAAUGAGAUAGGUUGGGACGAAACAUGAUUAUUUUUUUUACAUCAUUACAAAUUAUACGUCUCUCUUUAAGAGGGACAAGGCUCGAACCCGGAUCUAGUGAGAAAGCAACAGAGGUGAGAACCACUAGUCCACUAGCUCCUUCUCAGACGAAACAUGAAAUCUCAAUUUAAAAACACGUAUAAAAAUGUAACAAAUAAUAUUUCUAUAAUGAUUUCCAAUAUGAAUUUAACUAAUUUUUUCCAAUACAACACAUAUGUCAAACUAAUAAACAACAUAAAAAUUUAACAAUAAUUGAUAAAAAAUUGAAAAUUGAAAUAAAAAACAUAAUUAAAUGUAAUGAACUAAAUAUAAAGUAAAUUAUACUACUAUGUUAAAUUUUAAAAAUUUUCCAUAUGAAAAUAUAAAAUAUAAAAAACAGAAAAUCAGAAACGAAUACAUAAUUGUAUAAAAAUGAUCAUAACGAGAUAUA
rnacentral:lncRNA from 1 species